rnacentral:rRNA from 1 species
CAAAGCACUUUGAAGAGAGAGUUAAACAGGACGUGAAACCGAUGAGGUGGAAACGGACAGAGUCGGCGUAUCUGGCCUGUAUUCAACUGGAGACCCAAGCACAUUGGGUAGGCCUUUUCCAGAUUGGACAGGCGAUCCAACUGUUUGGGAGUCUACAGUGCAUUUGCAAGUGGAGUGCGCUGAGGUGGUCGGGUUAGCUGCGUGAUCUCGGGUUUGAGGCCAGCCCCUCGGGGUAUGGUACCCGGCUCGGGGGAGUGCUGUUUAGCCUGUUCAACUUGUAUGGAAAUGGUAUCGGGUCCGGCUGGUAUCCAGCUAACAACUGGUGGCGGUCGCAUGCGACACGUACUAGUGGUUGGUUGGGUCCUGGUCUGGCUCCCAUGUUUUCCAAUCCUCGGUGUAAAAACCGGUCAUCUGUCCGACCCGUCUUGAAACACGGACCAAGGAGUUUAGCGUGUGCGCGAGUCAUUGGGUGUUGGAAACCCAAAGGCGCAAUGAAAGUGAAGGUCUCUCUUGUGGAGCUGAUGUGUGACCCGGGUCACCGAGGUGGCCCGGAGCAACAUGGUCCCGUCCUGAUCGCUUGCGAUGGGGCGGAGACAGAGCGUACGCGCUGAGACCCGAAAGAUGGUGAACUAUUCCUGAGCAGGACGAAGCCAGAGGAAACUCUGGUGGAAGUCCGAAGCGAUUCUGACGUGCAAAUCGAUCGUCUGACUUGGGUAUAGGGGCGAAAGACUAAUCGAACCAUC